rnacentral:rRNA from 1 species
AGCUCCAAUAGCGUAUAUUAAAGUUGUUGCAGUUAAAAAGCUCGUAGUUGGAUUUCUGGCGUGCGACCCGGGUCGGCCCGAAAUGGGUCUGUACUAGGAGUCGCGCGCCAUCCUUGGGGCGAGGCGUUCUACCAUUAACUUGGCGGUGCGUUGAGCCCCAUCGUUUACUGUGAACAAAUUAGAGUGUUUAAAGCAGGCAUAUGCCUUGAAUACAUUAGCAUGGAAUAAUAAGAUAGGACUUCGGUAAUAUUUUGUUGGUUCAUUAUUGAGGUAAUGAUUAAUAGGGAUAGUUGGGGGUAUUCAUAUUCAAUUGUCAGAGGUGAAAUUCUUGGAUUUAUGGAAGAUGAACAACUGCGAAAGCAUUUACCAAGGAUGUUU